rnacentral:rRNA from 1 species
CCUACGGGUGGCUGCAGUGAGGAAUAUUGGUCAAUGGGAGCAAUCCUGAACCAGCAAUGCCGCGUGUGGGAUGACAGGGCUCAGCCUUGUAAACCACUGUCGGAUGGGACGAGAGGGGGCCUUGGGCCCCUGGGACGGUACCAUCAAAGGAAGGGUCGGCUAACUACGUGCCAGCAGCCGCGGUAAUACGUAGGACCCGAGCGUUGUCCGGAUUCACUGGGUAUAAAGGGUGCGUAGGCGGCCUUGUGCGUCAGAGGUGAAAUAUCCGGGCUUAA